GACGAACGCUGGCGGCAGGCCUAACACAUGCAAGUCGAGCGAGGACUUCGGUCCUAGCGGCGGACGGGUGAGUAACGCGUGGGAACGUGCCCUUUGCUACGGAAUAGCCCUGGGAAACUGGGAGUAAUACCGUAUGUGCCCUUUGGGGGAAAGAUUUAUCGGCAAAGGAUCGGCCCGCGUUGGAUUAGGUAGUUGGUGGGGUAAUGGCCUACCAAGCCGACGAUCCAUAGCUGGUUUGAGAGGAUGAUCAGCCACACUGGGACUGAGACACGGCCCAGACUCCUACGGGAGGCAGCAGUGGGGAAUCUUAGACAAUGGGGGAAACCCUGAUCUAGCCAUGCCGCGUGGGCAAUGGAGGCCUUAGGGUUGUAAAGCUCUUUCAGUGGGGAAGAUAAUGACGGUACCCACAGAAGAAGCCCCGGCUAACUCCGUACCAGCCGCCGCAGUAA
rnacentral:rRNA from 1 species